GUGCCAGCCGCCGCGGUAAUACGUAGGGACCAAGCGUUGUUCGGAUUUACUGGGCGUAAAGGGCGCGUAGGCGGCGUGUUAAGUCAGCUGUGAAAUCUCCAAGCUUAACUUGGAACGGUCAGCUGAUACUGAUGUGCUAGAGUGCAGAAAGGGCAAUCGGAAUUCUUGGUGUAGCGGUGAAAUGCGUAGAUAUCAAGAGGAACACCUGAGGCGAAGGCGGGUUGCUAGGCUGACACUGACGCUGAGGCGCGAAAGCUAGGGUAGCAAACGGGAUUAGAUACCCCAGUAGUCC
rnacentral:rRNA from 1 species